UACAGAGGUCUCAAGCGUUGUUCGGAUUUAUUGGGCGUAAAGGGCGCGUAGACGGCGGGGUAAGUCGGGUGUGAAAUCUCAGGGCUCAACCCUGAAACUGCACUUGAUACUGCUCUGCUUGAGGACUGGAGAGGGGACUGGAAUUCACGGUGUAGCAGUGAAAUGCGUAGAUAUCGUGAGGAAGACCAGUGGCGAAGGCGGGUCUCUGGACAGUUCCUGACGCUGAGGCGCGAAGGCCAGGGGAGCAAACGGGG
rnacentral:rRNA from 1 species